ACGAUGACAGCGAUGGAGUCCUAUUCCCC
rnacentral:piRNA from 1 species